AACGCGAAGAACCUUACCUACCCUUGACAUCUAGCCAAUCCUGCAGAGAAGUAGGAGUGCCUUCGGGCAAGCUAAGACAGGUGCUGCAUGGCUGUCGUCAGCUCGUGUCGUGAGAUGUUGGGUUAAGUCCCGUAACGAGCGCAACCCUUGUACCUAGUUGCCAGCACGUAAAGGUGGGAACUCUAGGUAGACUGCUGGUGAUAAACCGGAGGAAGGUGGGGAUGACGUCAAGUCCUCAUGGCCUUUAUGGGUAGGGCUACACACGUGCUACAAUGGGCAGUACAGAGGGAAACGAAAUCGAGAGGUGGAGUGAAUCUUGAAAAACUGUUCGUAGUCCGGAUAGGAGUCUGCAACUCGACUCCUUGAAGUCGGAAUCGCUAGUAAUCGCGAAUCAGCAUUGUCGCGGUGAAUACGUUCCCGGGCCUUGUACACACCGACGC
rnacentral:rRNA from 1 species